AUUACCUACGGGACGCAGCAGUAGGGAAUUUUCGUCAAUGGGCGCAAGCCUGAACGAGCGAUGCCGCGUGAGUGAAGAAGGCCUUCGGGUCGUAAAGCUCUGUUGCGGGGGAAAAAAGGCAGCAUCAGGAAAUGGGUGCUGACUGACGGUGCCCCGCCAGAAAGUCACGGCUAACUACGUGCCAGCAGCCGCGGUAAUACGUAGGUGGCGAGCGUUAUCCUGAAUGAUUGGGCGUAAAGGGCGUGUAGGCGGGAAUGCAAGUCAGAUGUGAAAAUUAU
rnacentral:rRNA from 1 species